CGGGAGGUGAGUGGUUGACGGGCUCGCCGGGGAGCCGGGAAGCCAAGCUGCAGUGUUCCUCAGCAACAAGUCUCGCUAAGAUCCGACCCAGAGUUCGCCCUCUGACCAGACGCCUGGGAAUCCAUUUCACUGCGAUGCAGAAGAUGUUUCCAGUUUUUAAAAUAUCACCACUUGGGAUCAAAAUUUGAUGUGGAAUGUAACAAUAUGAAAGGACUGGGGAGGCCUCAGGAAACUUACAAUCAUGGCAGAAGAGGAAGGAAACAUGUCCUUCUUCAUAUGGCAACAGCAAGGAGAAAUGCCCAGCAAAAGGUGGAAAAGUCCCUUAUAAAACCAUCAGAAGUCAUGAGAACUCACUCACCAUCACGAGAACAGCAUAAGGGUAACUGCCCCCAUGAUUAAAUUACCUCCCACAGGGUCCCUCCCACAACAUGUGGGGAUUAUGGGAACUACAAUUCAAGACGAGAUUUGGGUGGAGAUGCAGCCAAACCGUAUCCGUUAAUGAAAAAUACUGUUACUACAUUAAUGUAAGAUUUUAA